rnacentral:tRNA from 1 species
GCCUCCGUGGCCCAAUUGAUAAGGCACCGGCCUCCUAAGCCUGGGAUUGCGGGUUCGAGUCCCGUCGGAGGUU